rnacentral:rRNA from 1 species
GCCAGACUCCUACGGGAGGCAGCAGUGGGGGAUAUUGCACAAUGGGGGAAACCCUGAUGCAGCGACGCCGCGUGUGGGAAGACGGUCCUCUGGAUUGUAAACCACUGUCCCCAGGGACGAAGAUGACGGUACCUGGGGAGAAAGCUCCGGCUAACUACGUGCCAGCAGCCGCGGUAAUACGUAGGGAGCGAGCGUUGUCCGGAUUUACUGGGUGUAAAGGGUGCGCAGGCGGCUCUGCAAGUCAGGCGUGAAAGCUAGGGGCUCAACCCCUAAACUGCGCUUGAAACUGUGGAGCUUGAGUGAAGUAGAGGCAGGCGGAAUUCCCGGUGUAGCGGUGAAAUGCGUAGAGAUCGGGAGGAACACCAGUGGCGAAGGCGGCCUGCUGGGCUUUAACUGACGCUCAGGCACGAAAGCAUGGGUAGCAAACAGGAUUAGAUACCCCCGUAA